GAGUUUGAUCCUGGCUCAGAACGAACGCUAGCGGUGUGGAUUAGGCAUGCAAGUCGUGCGCGUAAGCCUUCGGGCGAGUAAAGCGGCGAAAGGGUGAGUAACACGUAACCAACGUACCCUGCAGAUCGGAAUAACCUCUGGAAACGGUGGGUAAUGCCGAAUGGUCCCCCGAAAGACAUCUUUCGGAGGGUAAACGGUGGCUUCGGCUGCUGCUGCGGGAGCGGGUUGCGGCCUAUCAGCUUGUUGGUGGGGUAACGGCCUACCAAGGCGAUGACGGGUAGCGGGUCUGAGAGGAUGAUCCGUCACACUGGGACUGAGACACUGCCCAGACUCCUACGGGAGGCUGCAGUCGAGAAUCUUCCACAAUGGGCGAAAGCCUGAUGGAGCGACACCGCGUGCAGGAUGAAGGCCUUAGGGUUGUAAACUGCUGUCACGCUAUAGGAACCCGUGGUCGUUAAUAGCGGCCGCGCUGACCAAAGCGAGAGGAAGCGCCGGCUAACUCCGUGCCAGCAGCCGCGGUAAUACGGAGGGCGCAAGCGUUGUUCGGAUUCACUGGGCAUAAAGAGCACGUAGGCGGCUCGCUCAGUCGGGUGUGAAAGCCCACGGCCCAACCGUGGAACUGCACCCGAUACUGGCGAGCUCGAGGACGGAAGGGGUGAGUGGAACUCCAGGUGGAACGGUGAAAUGUAUAGAUAUCUGGAGGAACACCGGUGGCGAAAGCGGCUCACUGGUCCGUCUCUGACGCUGAGGUGCGAAAGCUAGGGUAGCGAACGGGAUUAGAUACCCCGGUAGUCCUAGCCGUAAACGAUGGGUACUAGGCAAUGGGCCAUCCUAUGAGGCUCAUUGCCGGAGCUAAUGUGUUAAGUACCCCGCCUGGGGAGUACGCUCGCAAGGGUAAAACUCAAAGGAAUGAC
rnacentral:rRNA from 1 species